rnacentral:rRNA from 1 species
UCAGGUGCUGCAUGGCUGUCGUCAGCUCGUGUCGCGAGAUGUUCGGUUAAGUCCGCUAACGAGCGCAACCCUCGCUGUGUGGUUACAAGUGUCACACGGAACUGCCGGUCAUAAACCGGAGGAAGGUGGGGAUGACGUCAAGUCAGCAUGGCCUUUAUAUCCUGGGCUACACACACGCCACAAUGGGAAGGGACAAUAGGUUGCGAAGCCGCGAGGCGGAGCCAAUCCAGCAAAACUUCCCUCAGUUCAGAUUGCAGGCUGCAACCCGCCUGCAUGAAGUUGGAGUUGCUAGUAAACGCAGGUCAGCCAUACUGCGUUGAGUACGUUCCCGGGGCUU